AGUGAACGCUGGCGGUAGGCCUAACACAUGCAAGUCGAACGGCAGCACAGGAGAGCUUGCUCUCUGGGUGGCGAGUGGCGGACGGGUGAGGAAUACAUCGGAAUCUACUCUGUCGUGGGGGAUAACGUAGGGAAACUUACGCUAAUCCCGCAUACGACCUACGGGUGAAAGCCGGGGACCCUCGGGCCUUGCGCGAUUGAAUGAGCCGAUGUCGGGUUAGCUAGUUGGCGGGGUAAAGGCCCACCAAGGCGACGAUCCGUAGCUGGUCUGAGAGGAUGAUCAGCCACACUGGAACUGAGACACGGUCCAGACUCCUACGGGAGGCAGCAGUGGGGAAUAUUGGACAAUGGGCGCAAGCCUGAUCCAGCCAUACCGCGUGGGUGAAGAAGGCCUUCGGGUUGUAAAGCCCUUUUGUUGGGAAAGAAAUCCAGCUGGCUAAUACCCGGUUGGGAUGACGGUACCCAAAGAAUAAGCACCGGCUAACUUCGUGCCAGCCGCCGCCGUAA
rnacentral:rRNA from 1 species